rnacentral:rRNA from 1 species
GCACAACGCGAAGAACCUUACCUACUCUUGACAUCCAGAGAACUUAGCAGAGAUGCUUUGGUGCCUUCGGGAACUCUGAGACAGGUGCUGCAUGGCUGUCGUCAGCUCGUGUUGUGAAAUGUUGGGUUAAGUCCCGCAACGAGCGCAACCCUUAUCCUUUGUUGCCAGCGGUCCGGCCGGGAACUCAAAGGAGACUGCCAGUGAUAAACUGGAGGAAGGGUGGGGGAUGGACGUCAAGUCAUCAUGGCCCUUACGAGUAGGGCUACACACGUGCUACAAUGGCGCAUACAAAGAGAAGCGACCUCGCGAGAGCAAGCGGACCUCAUAAAGUGCGUCGUAGUCCGGAUUGGAGUCUGCAACUCGACUCCAUGAAGUCGGAAUCGCUAGUAAUCGUAGAUCAGAAUGCUACGGUGAAUACGUUCCCGGGUCUUGUACACACCG